GCUUGUCUCAAAGAUUAAGCCAUGCAUGUCUAAGUAUAAGCACCCUUAUACUGCGAAACUGCGUACAGCUCAUUAUAUCAGCAAUUAUUUAUUUGAAGGUCACCUAUUACAUGGAUAACCGUGGUAAUUCUAGAGCUAAUACAUGCGAAAAGACCCGACUUUGCGGAAGGGUUGCAUUUAUUAGAUACAAAACCAAUGCGGGGCAACCCGGUUGUUGGUGAUUCAUAAUAACUUUUGCGGAUCGCAUGGCCUUGAGCCGGCGACGAAUCAUUCAAAUUUCUGCCCUAUCAACUUUCGAUGGUACGGUAUUGGCCUACCAUGGUUACCACGGGUAACGGGGAAUUAGGGUUCGGUUCCGGAGAGGGGGCCUGAGAAAUGGCCACCACAUCCAAGGAAGGCAGCAGG
rnacentral:rRNA from 1 species